UGAGAUGAUCAUGUGGUUUUUAUUCCUCAGUUUGUUGAUGUGGUGUAUCACGUUGAUUGAUUUGCGGAUGUUGAACCAUCCCUGUGUCCCUGGUAUGAAUCCCACCUGAUCCUGAUGUAUGAUUCUUUUGAUGAAUUGCUGAAUUCUGGUUGCCAAAAUUUUGUUUAGAAUUUUUGCAUCUAUGUUCAUCAGUGAUAUUGGCCUGUAGAGGAACUUGAUUUUUCAUGACUGGAUUAUGAAAGCUCUUCCUACAAACAGUUAAUUUUUUUUUUACAUAUCUUUAAAAGAUAGGGCAGCCAUUUCCUUAGUGAGGCAUCAGUAAGCAGGGAGCAAGAGCAAUUGCUGCAGCACAAUCGGGUGCUAGCUUGAGGCAGACGGCCUGUCUUAUGCUGUGCACCGUCUCUACAGACCAGGUUUGCCGAACAUAUUUGACAGUCCACUUACAGUCAGAGAGAAAUGCAUGUGCACAGUAGUGUGACAACUUUAUAUCAUGUCAGGUACUCAGAACAUCUGUGCUAAAUUUUUUUUUUUAAGAUUUUAUUUUUUUCCUUUUUCUCCCCAAAGCUCCCCUGGUACACAGCUGUAUAUUCUUUGUUGUGGGUCCUUCUAGUUGUGGCAUGUGGGACGCUGCCUCAGCGUGGUUUGAAGAGCAGUGCCAUGUCUGCGCCCAGGAUUUGAACCAACGAAACACUGGGCCGCCUGCAGCAGAGCGCGCGAACUUAACCACUCGGCCACGGGGCCAGCCCCUGUGUUAAAUUUUUAAAUAAUUUACUCUAUUUAUUGCCAUAUUCUAGAGGACAGUUAUGAGCUUUGAAUAUUUAACCAUUUGGUUAACACAUUUAUUGUACAGAUUCUGUGCUAAAAUUACAUCAAUGGAUGAAAACUAGACACAUGGAAGCUGCCUUUAUGGUACAAACAGUCUAAUAGAGAAAAUGGACAUUAAACAUGGAAAUGUAACUCGGUAAACAGCAUUGAUUCUCUAGCUCUAUUUUUAUUUCUUGUAGCACUUAAGGGUAAUAUGGUUGAUUCAGUAUUAAUCAUUCCACAACUGAUUUCCUCUUUAGGUGUAUUUGGAUAUACUUUUGGCACUGUCUCAAAGUGCAAAGCAUGUUAUGUGCAAAAUACCUAUUUGUAGCAUGGGUGUAUUCAGAAAACAUUAAGUGCAUAAGAUCUAAAGCCUAAAAAGAAAGGUUUACUUUAUGAUUUCAAGUAUAAAAUAAGGACAGGGACCAAGUCUGUCUUGUUCACCAUAAUAUUCCCAGCUCCCAGCAUCCGACUUGACACAUAGUAAGAACUCAUUAAAUAUUAGUUGAAUGAAUGAGUAAUGAAUAGAAUAUGUUUAAUUAGGAACUAAAUAUCUAAUUUUCAUGUGGGGGUUAAACAAAAGGCUAUCCAUAGCAUUUUUUUCAUUGACUGGAAACAAUUUGAAUUCUUUAAUGCAAAACACUGUAGAAGAGAAGUCAUUUAGAUAAGUCACAUACCAUUGCCUUCUCCCCUUCCUCCUCUGUGGAGGCACUUCCCAGGUGGCAGAGCAGCCUGGGGAAGCCAAAGCCUGCAGAAUAAAAUACAUGUUUGGGUCCAGUGAGCCCCGGUUCUAGGCAUUUAAUGGGAACCCAGAAGAGAGGGGAUACCAGGUUCCCCAGCGGAGUUCCAGUAAAAGGAAUGGGUAUGAGCUCUGAGUCCAUUAAAAUACAGAACUAAGAUUUUAAAACUGAGGAAUCAUAGUUGUAGAAUAGAAUGUAAAUGUUAUAAAUCUUGACAAAGAAAAAUUAACUUAUAUUGAUCAAUUGGGACAUGGGGCAGAGACAGUUCGACAAAAACUAAGAACUAACCACCUCAUCUUUCAUGGCCAGGUGUCCUGUCAGGUUAUAUUGUCUAAGAUUGUAUUAUACAAUAUAGAAAGAAACCUAGUGACCAACCUUAAGUUUUUCACAGUCUUUUUCUUGACCUUAACACAGUGGUUCUCAAAGUGUGGUCCUCAACCAGCAACGUCAGCAUCACCUAUGAAGUUGUUAGAAAUGCAAAUUCUUGGCCCCACCCCAGACCUGCUGAAUCAGAACUUCUGGGGAUGGGCCCAGCAGUCUGUUUCAACAAACUCUCCAGAGGAUUCUCACGCAGGCUCAAGUUUGAGCAUCACUGGUUUCCUUAGCUCUUUUAGGAACAAGAGCCCUUAUGGUAGAGAAACCUUUAUCUGAAGUUCAACAGCCCCUUCAGUUUCAUUUCUAAUUUUUUUCUAUAGCAUUCAAAUUAACUCUAAAGCUUUUAAAAAUAAAAAGUAUAGCAAUUCCCACCAUCAGUCCUCUCUGUACAUAUGAAUAGACAAGUCUGGAAUGCCCACUCACUGUUAACACUGGUGAUUUUUUAAGUGGCAGGAUUAUGAGUGACUCUGUUCUUUUCUGUAUCGGUUGACUAUAAUGAACAUUGUAUCAUUUUCAUAAAAUAAAGUCAUUCUUUUAAAAAAAUGGUAAGGAUAUUCAUCCUGUCCAUUGUAGAUCGUUAUUAAAAGCCACAUAGACAGCAUUACCUCCAAGGGCUGACUCCUUCACCUUAGUCCAGAGGGGUCUUACUCCCUGCCAUUCUUCCUCCC
ensembl:lncRNA